rnacentral:rRNA from 1 species
UCGAGGAUCUUCGGCAAUGGGCGAAAGCCUGACCGAGCGACGCCGCGUGCGGGAUGAAGGCCUUCGGGUUGUAAACCGCUUUCGUAGGGGAGGAAAUUCCGGUGGGAUCACCCAUCGGUUUGACCUAGCCUAGGAAGAAGGACGGGCUAAGUUCGUGCCAGCAGCCGCGGUAAUACGAACCGUCCUAACGUUAUUCGGAAUUAUUGGGCUUAAAGGGUGCGUAGGCGGCCCGGUAAGUUGGGUGUGAAAUCCCUCGGCUCAACCGAGGAAUUGCGCCCAAAACUGUCGGGCUCGAGGGAGAUAGAGGUGAGCGGAACUUAGGGUGGAGCGGUGAAAUGCGUUGAUAUCCUAAGGAACACCGGUGGCGAAAGCGGCUCACUGGGUCUCUUCUGACGCUGAGGCACGAAAGCUAGGGGAGCGAAGA